rnacentral:rRNA from 2 species
CUUUGGGUGACGAGCGGCGGACGGGUGAGUAAUGUCUGGCAAACUGCCUGAUGCAGGGGGAUAACUACUGGAAACGGUAGCUAAUACCGCAUAACGUCGCAUGACCAAAGUGGGGGACCUUCGGGCCUCAUGCCAUCAGAUGUGCCCAGAUGGGAUUAGCUAGUAGGUGAGGUAAUGGCUCACCUAGGCGACGAUCCCUAGCUGGUCUGAGAGGAUGACCAGCCACACUGGAACUGAGACACGGUCCAGACUCCUACGGGAGGCAGCAGUGGGGAAUAUUGCACAAUGGGCGCAAGCAUGAUGCAGCCAUGCAGCGUGUAUGAAGAAGGCCUUGGGGUUGUAAAGUACUUUCAGCGAGAAGGAAGCUGUUAAGGUUAAUAACCUUGGCGAUUGACGAUUCUCGCAGAAGAAGCACCGGCUAACUCCGUGCCAUCUGCCGCGAAAAUACGGAGGGGGCAAGCGUUAAUGCGUAAUUACUGACCGUAAGGCGCACGCGGGCGUGCGUGUCAAGUCGAAUGUAAAAUCCUUGGACUCAACCUGCCAACUGCAUCCGACACUGGCAGGAUCGAGUCUUGUA